GCCUUAUAUAGUUUGUUUUUUGUUCUCACUUAUUUCAAGACACUUUUUGUCAUCCAAGGACUUUUGCUUUUAUCAGUUGAAUUUUUUUUUUGGUUGGAAAACUUAUAUUAUAAGCAUUUAAGAAUGUUUCUGUGAAUUCGGAAAAACUUAGUUCUGGAUUCGAGUUAUCAGAAAAAUACUUGGCCAAGAUAUUUCAUUAAAUAGCUUGUUUGAAAACAUUUAUAUUUGCAUUAUUGAAUUUUCUAAUGUCUAUUAUU